CUCGAAUUUUUAGGCCGAGAAGAUACAGUGUGUGUGGUACUGUCUACAAACCAACGAAUUUAUAUUGAAGCUACAAUCACAAUCAUUGUUAUUGCUGCAAAACAGGUAUUCUCUUGGCCAAACUCAAGCAGGAGUCAGAGGAUAAAGAAGCCCAUUGAAAAUGUCCAUACUGAUCAGCGCCAGGGCAGGCAACAAGAUGCAGAAUGGGGCCAGGGUACCUGGAUGAUACACAGCACAAGGUCUAAAAUUGAGGAAUCAAGAAAUAGCAAGACGGCCAGGUGCGGUGGCUCAUGCCUGUAAUCCCAGCACUUUAGGAGGCUGAGACGCUUUCCUUCUGCAGACUGCCUUUCCUGACAAGAACAGACUCAGACAGUCUGUAGAGUGGUUCCGCCCCGAAGCUGAAAAAUAGUGUACAAAGCUGUCACGAAGUUUCCACUGCACAGCUCCAAUGUUCCAUUUGCUCUGGCGACAGAUCUUUCGGUGACCUUCGAAAGCGACAUCGAGAUUGACGAUGUAUAAGAAUCUGCCGCCAGAAAGCACUGCAUGUUGCCCAAGACAGUCACAGACAUCGCAGUUGCCUGGGAGUCACGAAACUCUACCACUACGUUCUCGCUGCUCCAUCGCGCCGCCAUCUCCCACUCUCGGCCGCCAAGGCCCCAGGACCGCGCCCUCCCAUCCACCAGACCCGGGUCCCCUGGCCCUCUGAGCCCUACACAGCCCGCGAGUCAGCCCUGACACGUCCAGUCCCCUGCUUCUUUGUGUUUUGAUAGAAAACAAAACAAAACAAAACAAAACAAAAACAUCUUGCCAAUCCAUUUGGCUUAUAAAAUAAUGUAUUGUGCACAUUUAUUAUAAUGAUAAUAAUUACAUAAGAAGUAAUUUGGGAGAAUGGGGUCCAAAAUCAGCUAUAGUAUAGUCAUGAGGGUUGCACCUGGAAGAGACUGCCUCUCUGAUGUUCAAAGUUUGAGAAUUAGUCCUUAAUGAAUAAAUGUAUAUAAUGCAAUUUUGAAGUUUAUACUUUCCUUGUUUGAACAGGAUAGAAUCAGCACUAAACAGAAACCAGUACAAUUCUCAAUAACAAAUUAUCUCAGUAGAGGUCCAAUAACCCUGUGAUAAAUAUGCGCCUGUUCUUCUCCACUGUCUGACCUACUUAUGUCUGCAUCAAGUAUCCCCAAACUGCUCUGUCAGGAAUAUACACCCGAAGAGCCCUCUGAGAACUGGUUUAACUAGUAUUUUGGCUUGUUUUGGGUGCACCUGUGACCUAAUUUACAAGACCAAGAUUAAUUAAAUGUUCAUGCACAAUUAAAAGACAAUUUUACUUCAGUAGUAUGAUGCUUAAUUUCUGCUUAUAGAAUUCAUUUUUUAUUAGUUAUAAAUUAUGCUAGAUGACAUAGAGAGGAAUAUCAAAUGCAGAGGAUUCUUAGCCUGAGAUCCAUGGACCUCAAGUGUUUCACGAACACCUUGAGAUAGUUUUCAAAAUGGUAUAUGUGUGUAUCUAGGGGCAUCUUUCUGAGAAAGGGAUUUCCUAGAUUUUAUUCAAUAUGAUCUGGAGUCCAGAGCAAAAAAAUAUUGUACAAAUCUUUGCUCUACUAACUUCUUGACAUUGGGAAUUUGAGGGAGAGGAAUUUUCCAUCAGCUUUUUGUUUUUUGGGAAAUAAAUAAAAUGACUAUGAGCAAACAUGAAGACAAUUCCCAAACCAAUUCCCAAAGACUGGUACCAGUAGCUCCUGGUGCAGAACCAACUUCAGCAUGGCAGGGAACAAAGAAAUGUUCAGUUAUACUGAGGGCAAAAGGACAAUGAGAAUCUCCUAAGUUCCUCAAAGUCACUUCUGUUGCUCCCUGAUGUUUACAGUUCAAAGCAGAUACUUGUGCUCCUAAAACAAACAACCUUGAAGCCCUGGCCUGAUCUAUGGUCUCAGCCUAUCCUUCAACUUUUUCUCAGCUCUUCUUUUACUUCCACUAUGGUAUGGCCACCCAGACAACCAGUCCACAGACUACGCCCUUAUCUUGUAUCUCACAAUAUGUGAAAAGGUUUGGGCCAACACCGUCUUCUAAAUACCAUCUUCAAUCCCUGCCUAAACUCAAAUAUCCAGCUUAUUUCAGCUUCUCAGUUUAUCUAGGCUGUUAGCUUCCAGUCACCUGCAGUUUUCCCUAACUUUCUCUGUGUGGGUGUUACUUUAUUCACUGUUUUUAGCCAAUAUCUCAUCACUACAAACUGAAAUCUCCACAGGCAGGGCCAGUGCUUAGUGUCCUGCUCAAUUCUGUGUCCACAGCACUAAGGGCAGCAGUGGGUGUGGCACAAAAAUUUGUCCUUCCUAUUUUCAAGUCCGUAUACUCUCAGGUCAGUUGUAGGCUGUGCAAGCUGUACCACUAGGUCUGAUAUGUGGCUCAUUAAGCAAAAACAGGAGAGAAUUGUACCAAUGCACAUUGCAAGCCAGAGUUCUGAAUUCAUUUUGAAGAAGUAACUUCAUUUGGUCACAUUUUUGUUCUUAUUCCCGUGAGCAAUAGUUUCCAUUUAAUUGGGAAGAUAUAAAGGAGAGUUCCCAUAUAUCCCCACACUCAGUUUUCCUUAUUAUUAAAAUCUUACAUUGGUAUGGUACGUUUGUUACAAACAAUUAACAAAUAUGUAUACAUUAUUAUUAACUAAAAUGAAUAUGUUAGAUUUCCUUCAUUUUUACCUAAUUUCCUUUCUCUGUUCCAGGAUCCUAUUCAGAAUUCCAUGUUAUUUUUAGUCAUCAUGACUCCCUAAGCUCUCUUGGCUGUGGUAGUUCUUAGACUUUCCUUGAUUUUGAUGAUCUUGACAGUUUUGAAGAGUGUUGAGCAGGCAUUUUGUAGAAUGUCCUUCAACUAGGAUUUGUCUGAUAUUUUUCUCAUCAUUAGAUCGGAGUUAGGGGUUCGAGGGAGCAAGACCGCAGAGGUAAAGUGGAGGGUUUUUGUUUGUUUGUUUGUUUGUUUUGAGACAGGGUCUCCCUCUGUCACGCAGGCUGGAAUGCAGUGGCACCAUCUCGGCUCUCUGCAACCUCCGCCUCCCGGGUUCAAGCGAUUCUCCUGCCUCAGCCUCAUGAGCAGCUGGGACUACAGGCAUCUGCCACCACGCCUGGCUAAUUUUUGUAUUUUUAGUGGAGACAGGGUUUCACCAUGUUGGCCAGGCUGGUCUCGAACUCCUUGCCUCAAGUGAUCCACCUGCCUCGGCCUCCCAAAGUGCUGGGAUUACAGGAAUAAACCACCAUGCUUGACCUAAAGCGCCAUUUUUAUCACGUUAUAUCAAGACAAUAUACUAUCAACAUGGCUUAUCACUGCUGGUGUAAUGCUUUUGGGAUUUAUUCACUGCUUACUUUCCCACCCUUUUUCAUACUGUAUUCUGUAGAGCAAUCACUAUGCAGAGCCCACAAUGAAGGGGUGGAGUUAUCUGGAAUUCUGCUCAGGAGAUUCCUUGAAAAACUGAGAUUUGUUGCACAUCAGGGAAGCUGUAGGGAUUGGUUUGAAGUCUUCUAUUUAUUGUUUCUCAAAUUGUUUCAGCUUUGACCAUUACAGGCAUAUAUUUUUAAUUUUUUUUUUCAGAGAGCACAGAACUUGGUACAAGCCCUAGCCCUUAGAAAUGCUCAUCUUAAAUUUGUUACAUGGACCUUCAGUUUUUCAAAAGCCUCCAGUGGGCUAGAUUUUUAUUGAAAAUGCUUAGGAUCCUCAUGCUUCUUGUUCCCGAGGCUCCUGGAAACCACCUUUAGUUAUCCCGUUUGGUAAGAGGGUUUCAUUCUGUCUUGCUUUCUGGUAGUGAGUGGAUCAGAAAGUCAUAGGGCUGGGAGAAGAUGGACUGGAUGAGAUAUGUACGGAUAUUCUCUUUGCCACUGUACAGCGGCCAUUGCAGCUCCUGCCGCAGAGCCCACGGCCCUACGGGCGGGACCCAUUUUAACCUGGUAGUGACAGUGCCGCCUCAUUGAAGCAGGAAGGAUUUUUGUCCAUGACACUAGACGUCUCUAAGCAAUAAAGUAAUUUUGGCAGAUGCCGAUACCUCUCAUGUGAUCUUGUUGGGAAGGUUCAGAUCCUAUCACCUGAGAUUAUUUACUCUUAAAGACCCUCUGCCUCCUUCCUCAGCCUUUCUGUUUGACAACAUAAGAUCGCUUUUAUCUCCUGCAAUGAACACUCCUAGACAAGUCAUGUCCGGGUCUUGGUAUCAGUAAAUUUUUACUGCUGAAUAUUUUGGGAGAGGUUCUCAGUUAAUCCCAUUGAGAAAGACCAAGUUAAAGCUUUAUCAGUGAGAAACUAAUUACAAAAUCCUGCCUUGCAAAUAUUCGAGCUUUUAACAGUGCUUUACUCUUUGGUAUCCACGAGGUGGAGCCUUCCCGGGAAGCAGAAAGCAUCUUUUGGUGUCCUGUUUUUUGUUUUUUACCCUCGGCAACGCCACGGGUGCCAGGACUAGUUGACACGCCGCCUCAAUUUAAGUCAUCCAUAAUUUAUACGUUACGAAAUGGAACUUUCAAAAGUGUUCCUAGCGUUAGGAGCAAAGAACGCCGGACAAACGCUCGGGAGGCGGCGAGCCUCGCGGUUCUUCCAACAACGCAAUCUGUCAGCGCGGCUAGGUUGGUGCCCUCUCCCCCUGUAUCGGGGCAGCCCGGCUUAGGGCCGCAGAACCGAGGCUGGGGAGCCCCGCAGGCUGUUGCUAAGAGUCCAGGGGAGGCACGGACUUACCUUAUCUGCCCCUGGAAACAGAUUUGCUCUUGGAUCUUGCACGAAGAGCCCUGUGAGAAACGAAAAGGGAACUUGUGUGAUGGCGGCAGAUAACGAACAUUAGGGUAGAAACUUAGGUUCUUAAAGGGAAGACAGCUUGAGUUCGGAAAUGAAGAUAUAUUCCUUCAGGAAGGCCUGUUAAAAACACGAGCUAUUGCGAGGUUCCAUGGUGUAAUGGUUAGCACUCUGGACUCUGAAUCCAGCGAUCCGAGUUCAAAUCUCGGUGGAACCUGUCGUUUCUUCUUGCUUCCUCACUAUUUUUUUCUUUCUAAAAUAAA
rnacentral:tRNA from 1 species